GGGGGUGAUCGGUUUCGACGGUGGUCGUCUGUCCAGGAGAAGCGGGCCGAGGAGGCACGGUUAUCUCGAUAACGCUCCGUGCAAACCAAUAGGUGCCGAUUCCAAGCGCACCGACUUCGCCCUCGCCGCCUGAGCGAGCUCCGAAGUCCGUCGGCCUGAGCUCGUCCUCGACUCAGUAACCGGCGUCAGCUAGAGGACUAGCCGUGUCGCCAUGCCGAGGGGUGACACGGGACACUUACUCGGCUGGGCCUGUCGGAGGACGCGUGCGUGCGAGCUCCGGGGCCGAGAAAAUCCAUAGCGCACUGCGCCCGGAGAAGUCCUGGUCUCGCGUCAUCGGACGCGGGUUCGAUUCCCGCCACCUCCACCA
rnacentral:tmRNA from 1 species